rnacentral:snRNA from 1 species
AUCACUUCUUGGCCUUGUGGCUAAAAUCAAAUGUAGUAUCUGUUCUAUAUACAUAUAUCUUCAUUCAUAAAUAUCAACCAUA